GGUGAACGCUGGCGGCGUGCCUAACACAUGCAAGUCGAGCGAAGCGCUUAAAUUAGAUUUCUUCGGAAUGACGAUUUUUGUGACUGAGCGGCGGACGGGUGAGUAACGCGUGGGUAACCUGCCUCAUACAGGGGGAUAACAGUUAGAAAUGACUGCUAAUACCGCAUAAGACCCCAGCUUCGCAUGAAGCGGUGGUAAAAACUCCGGUGGUAUGAGAUGGACCCGCGUCUGAUUAGCUAGUUGGUAAGGUAACGGCUUACCAAGGCGACGAUCAGUAGCCGACCUGAGAGGGUGACCGGCCACAUUGGGACUGAGACACGGCCCAGACUCCUACGGGAGGCAGCAGUGGGGAAUAUUGCACAAUGGGGGAAACCCUGAUGCAGCGACGCCGCGUGAAGGAUGAAGUAUUUCGGUAUGUAAACUUCUAUCAGCAGGGAAGAAAGUGACGGUACCUGACUAAGAAGCCCCGGCUAACUACGUG
rnacentral:rRNA from 1 species